UUUGGUUUCUAAUAUCUAAAUUGAGCCAAAGAUGCCUCAAGCUAAAACAUCUUUCUAAAUACAUGACCUACUUGAAAAUAACAGCUAUCUAUUGUCUUUAUAUUUUUUAAUCUCAAUUUCUGAAAAGAGACAAUCAGGGAAACAAAGACUUGAUAUACAAACUACAAUAAAAGUAAUAAAUAUCUAAAACCUAGAUGCUUUGGAUUCCAAGUACUUUUGUCAAUGUUGCAAACUUUUGCCUUUGAAACGUGAUGAUAAAUUUAUCUCUGUCUAUAUACUGUUUAUAGUCUUGUGGUGCCCAUCAAGAAGCAUAAAUAUUCUUUGUGAUAUAUUACUAAAACGAAACAGGACAGUUUGCCAUGUGAAGAUCAUUAUCAUUGUCUCGUUGGUCUUUGUAGAUUCUUCGUGCUCAAGGUUACCACAAGUUAGCCAGGGACACCCUCAAUCAGCCCUAAGCCGAGUUGAUGGCUUAGUCGUGAGUGCCAUUUGGCUCUCCAUCUUGCUGGAUUUUCCCAUCCUGUCGCUUUGAUGCAAACGACUCCAGGAACACUGUCGCAAUAAUAUUGUAGAAAUGGAUUUUGACAAGGAACAGAACUUCGAAAAUAGAACUUUAGAGAAUGCUACUUGGAACAAGGCAAAGGGAGGCCCACAAAACCGUCGAGCUUUUCCUCCCCCUCUAACUCACGAACUUUGUCACAAGCACAUUGUAAGUUUUCUUUUGCAAAUGCUUACGUACUGAUCAGUAGGCGUGACAUCUCCUGCUAUAGGGUCGAGUUUUUAGGAUCCUAGAAAUCUACUCCAGGACAAGACGAUCAAGACGUUAAUACAGUUGUAAUUUUUUUAAAUUAAUAAGCUAAAUGCGCGAAUCUUUCCAAAACAGCAACGUCACUUUGGUCUUUUCUUAGUUUCUUGUCCAGCUGAGAACAGAGGUUUGUCUAGCUCAAGCAUGAGUUUCUAAAUGAAUACGUCCUGCGUUCUGACAUGGUUGAAUUAUCCUUGCUCAUAUUUACGACCAGUAAACAUUACAUAAUCAACGGCUACUUUGAUUUUCUUCCUCUCGCAGCAAGGUGGUCCCUUCGUACUCGGUGCUCGCUCCCUCCUCGCCUGCCAAAUACCUCCCUGGUAUGGAAGUCCUGGUGUUGCCGUAGGUUUUAAGCCUGACUUUUCUAAGGUUUGAUGUGGUUGCAGCAAAGUUUUUAGUUUCUCAGAUUUUAUUACAUGCAGGCGAGGGAAAAAUGGCGAAGUCAGGUUUCCAAGCUUGAAAAUAGUGUGUUUUGGGCGGAAUGCAACCACCGUGGGACGCUUCUUGGUCUUAAGAAGCUAAUACAGGUGCUAUUGGGAAACGUUGAUGUUCUACAGCUCUCUACGUUUCACUGGAUGGAGCUGCUGGUGGCGCAUUUCCUACAUCUGAUACCUUUUUCUUUGGUAUGUAUGAACUGUGUAGUGUGCUAAGUUCACUUGCAAUUAUCGGGUGCAGGUCUUAGAUGGAAUGCGUAGCAUAGCUUCCAAGUGCAAAGGAUUGAAAAGUUCUGGGGACGAAGACCUUCAAGAACUUUUAUCUGCAAUUAUCAGCAACGACACCGAGGUAAAUGCUCUUCCCAGUACUAUACAGAUACUCUUUGCGAAGUGUACGAAGGUUUUCAAUGCCUGGUAAGAACUUCUCAUGUCGAAUAUUUAUAUAAAUUUUCUAUCAGGAUGAUGGCGCAUGUUGAUGAUCUCCUGAUAGCAAAAGGGGAGGACGUUCGAUCUCUUCUUGAAGAAGACAGGCAAACUCUAGGCGGCUUGAGCUUGAAAGAACUCCAUCGUUUGGUUUAUUCUCAAGUACUGUCUUCGCACAGCUUAACCUGGCAGGUAUAUCGUUGAUUUCUUUGUUCUUGAUGUUUGUCUAACAAUUAUCUCAGCUAGCACCUGUUUACCUCGCGGCUUGCCCAAAGCAAGGCCUGGGAAUGCUUGAAGCUCUCCUAAUGAAGCAGAGUUGUUCCAAUCAGAAACUGGCAUUGAAGGUUGGUCUUGGUGUGACGUUUUCUUGAAUCUUAAUGUGAAUUUUGUGCAACAGGCACUAGAGAUAUGCCGCCUCUAUGAACCUGAUACCGUGAGCACAGCCAUCGCCAGGGUUUAGUAUCCUCUUCCUUUCCAGGCUUGGGGUUCUCACCUGUGUUUUAUGUCUUCCAGGCUGUUGGUGUUCAUAGUUUAAAGCAUGGAAAGAAGGGCCAAGGGAUAAUGUGGCUUCAAUUGGCCCGAGACGAGCAGAGGCUUUCUACUCUUGCGGAUAGCUUUUGAACACAAUAACGUCUGGUGAAGCUGAUAGUCUGGAUAAUCUCGAGGUAGCAGUCUUACGUUUUAUUUGAUACACGCACACUUUUAACGCUCUUUUCCCGUGCCAGCAUUUUGAGGGUCUCUGUGACAUCCUUGGCUCGGGAGCAACGAAGCAUCAAGGCCUGUCGUUCCUAGCAAGGUACUCACUUCAUACAGUUGCAAAACUAUCCGGAGCUCACUUCCAACUUCACGCAGGUACAAAAGCUUUAAGGCAGCGCUGCAAAACAUCAGAGAUCUGCGUUGUAGGGAGGCUUCCUACACCCGAACGGAUUGGUAACCUGGAGAAGAGAAGUCACCGCUGCUCUGCCAAGUGCAGCGAGGUUUUCGUAAAACCCCGGCUUGCAGCUUCUAAAAUCUGGAACCUUUCCACGUAAAUUCUGGCUGUCCUUGCUCCAAGAAUCGGUAUGGAGCUGUUCUCACGUCUCGUUUACACUCUAAACUUCGGAUCGAUCAGAUGGAGCUGCUGGAAUGGCCGGAGCAAGUGCUGGUUAGCGAGUCCGAAACAAACACUCUACUCUGCUGCCUCCAGGAACUCUUCCUCGCCAGGGACCGCCUAGAGAACGACAUCCUAGGCACCGCAGAGCCUGGCGCUGUGGAUCGCCUGAGAUUGGCACUGGCAUCCAACUUGGGCCGUGCCAUCUUGCAAAGCUGAUCGUUUCUACGAAGGUAGGAAGGAUUUCUUCUUGAACUGUACAAUUCAGAAGCGUGAGUCUAAUUAAGCAAAUAGUUUGACCGUAAAACUUCGCUAAAAGUCAAUUUUUAGUCAACACAGUCUUCAGUUAUUGGAAGUGUUAGCUUUUCAUUGGUUUUCAAUGAAUAUAAUUGUUUAAUUUUCGUGGGCAGAAAUAUUCUGAAAGAAUAUUUAACAUGGUGGAUCUAAAGGAAGAUAAUAAACUCUAAGAAAAAGACUAUGGUGACAGGAAGGUGACUUAAAGAUGAUUGCAAUUAUUUCUUGGCGAGGGGAAAAUUGUUAAGCACCAAGUUAGGAUAAUAGGAUAAAAAAACAUUGUUACACACCAGAUCAAAAUAAUAGGAUAAAAAAGGGACUUUACAAUCAAAUAAUCACCCCUUUAACCAGUUAGGUUAAAGUGUAAAAAAUAGAAUCAUACUCCCAGGCUCCAUCAUGUGGUUCCUGAGCAGUGACACAAAACAAUCCUACUCUUGUUCUUGAUAGCUUGGCAUAAAUUCUCUCUGUCCAAAAAUCACUAGCUAAUUCUUAGCGUGCAACAAAUGUAGUUGCUCCACCACGAUCGCUGCUGCUUAUGCCGGUUGUCACCACCACUACCACUGCUACCAGCGCCACUGCUAAACUUUGGCAAGGGGUUUCUAACAUUCUCAAUGGCUUUCAUCAGGACGUUGCUAUUGGUAUGCUUGGGUGGUGGCAUCAAUAAAACAGAUGCAUGCAACACCUCUUUAUCCUGCCUUGGAAGUCAGGCUCCCAAUCUCAGACAAGUGCAAACAAGCUUUCGCUUUCGCAUGAGGUGUCUAAUGUAAACCACUGAAGACUGCACGCUCCUUUUGUUCUAUUUGCAGAGUUCACCUUCCGUAAGUUUAAGCCGCGCAAGUAGACCAUUGACGAGAUGAACCCAGACGCCAAAAAGAAGGCUGUGGAAGCUGCAGAUAACAUCUUUGGUUUCUAAUAUCUAAAUUGAGCCAAAGAUACCUCAAGCUAAAACAUCUUUCUAAAUACAUGACCUACUUGAAAAUAACAGCUAUCUAUUGUCUUUAUAUUUUUUAAUCUUAAUUUCUGAAAAGAGACAAUCAGGGAAACAAAGACUUGAUAUACAAACUACAAUAAAAGUAAUAAAUAUCUAAAACCUAGAUGCUUUGGAUUCCAAGUACUUUUGCCUUCCAGUGGAACAUUGAAACGUGAUGAUAAAUUUAUCUCUGUCUAUAUACUGUUUAUAGUCUUGUGGUGCCCAUCAAGAAGCAUAAGUAUUCUUUGUGAUAUAUUAAUAAAACGAAACAGGACAGUUUGCCAUGUGAAGAUCAUUAUCAUUGUCUCGUUGGUCUUUGUAGAUUCUUCGUGCUCAAGGUUACCACAAGUUAGCCAGCCUCAAUCAGCCCUAAGCCGAGUUGAUGGCUUAGUCGUGAGUGCCAUUUGGCUCUCCAUCUUGCUGGAUUUUCCCAUCCUGUCGCUUUGAUGCAAACGACCCCAGGAACACUGUCGCAAUAAUAUUGUAGAAAUGGAUUUUGACAAGGAACAGAACUUCGAAAAUAGAACUUUAGAGAAUGCUACUUGGAACAAGGCAAAGGGAGGCCCACCAAACCGUCGAGCUUUUCCUCCCCCUCUAACUCACGAACUUUGUCACCAGCACAUUGUAAGUUUUCUUUUGCAAAUGCUUACGUACUGAUCAGUAGGCGUGACAUCUCCUGUUAUAGGGUCGAGUUUUUAGGAUCCUAGAAAUCUACUCCAGGACAAGACGAUCAAGACGUUAAUACAGUUGUAAUUUUUUUAAAUUAAUAAGCUAAAUGCGCGAAUCUUUCCAAAACAGCAACGUCACUUUGGUCUUUUCUUAGUUUCUUGUCCAGCUGAGAACAGAGGUUUGUCUAGCUCAAGCAUGAGUUUCUAAAUGAAUACGUCCUGCGUUCUGACAUGGUUGAAUUAUCCUUGCUCAUACUUACGACCAGUAAACAUUACAUAAUCAACGGCUACUUUGAUUUUCUUUCUCUCGCAGCAAGGUGGUCCCUUCGUACUCGGUGCUCGCUCCCUCCUCGCCUGCCAAAUACCUCCCUGGUAUGGAAGUCCUGGUGUUGCCGUAGGUUUUAAGCCUGACUUUUCUAAGGUUUGAUGUGGUUGCAGCAAAGUUUUUAGUUUCUCAGAUUUUAUUACAUGCAGGCGAGGGAAAAAUGGCGAAGUCAGGUUUCCAAGCUUGAAAAUAGUGUGUUUUGGGCGGAAUGCAACCACCGUGGGACGCUUCUUGGUCUUAAGAAGCUAAUACAGGUGCUAUUGGGAAACGUUGAUAUUCUACAGCUCUCUACAAUUCACUGGAUGGAGCUGCUGGUGGCGCAUUUCCUACAUCUGAUACCUUUUUCUUUGGUAUGUAUGAACUGUGUAGUGUGCUAAGUUCACUUGCAAUUAUCGGGUGCAGGUCUUAAUGCGUAGCAUAGCUUCCAAGUGCAAAGGAUUGAAAAGUUCUGGGGAUGAAGACCUUCAAGAACUUUUAUCUGCAAUUAUCAGCAACGACACCGAGGUAAAUGCUCUUCCCAGUACUAUACAGAUACUCUUUGCAAAGUGUACGAAGGUUUUCAAUGCCUGGUAAGAACUUCUCAUGUCGAAUAUUUAUAUAAAUUUUCUAUCAGGAUGAUGGCGCAUGUUAAUGAUCUCCUGAUAGCAAAAGGGGAGGACGUUCGAUCUCUUCUUGAAGAAGACCUUGACAGAACUCCAUCGUUUGGUUUAUUCUCAAGUACUGUCUUCGCACAGCUUAACCUGGCAUUGAUUUCCUUCUUCUUGAUGUCUAAACCGGCUAGAGAACGACAUCCUAAGCACCGCAGAGCCUGGCGCUGUGGAUUGCCUGAGAUUGGCACUGGCAUCCAACUUGGGCCGUGCCAUCUUGCAAAGCUGAUCGUUUCUUCGUUGUCAAACAAAGGUAGGAUUUCUUCUUGAACUGUACAAUUCAGAAGCGUGAGUCUAAUUGAGCAAAUAGUUUGACCGUAGAACUUCGCUAAAAGUCAAUAUUUAGUCAACAUAGUCUUCUGUCACUGAGAAUGUUAGCUUUUCAUUCAUUUUCAUACUUGAACUCAGCAAUUAAUCUAUACACAUGUACGGCUACGUUGAUUUGUUAGUCACCCUCAGAACCAAGCACUACUACACCAGCGUCCUAGUCUUGGGCACCCGAAGCAUCUCACGCCUGCCUUGGAUGGAUACAAGCCGGGCUCCCAAUCUCGGACAAGCCCAAUCAAGCUUUUGCUACUCUUGCAAAAGGCCCCAGACCAGCGCAUGAAACGAGUGUGUGAUUUCACCCUGUUGACGUUCACGGCCCUUUUCAUUUCACCACUCUCCGAGACGAUGCUGUGAAACUUGACUUAGUGGACCUGUGGUUUUCCACAAGCGCUGGUUCCUUUGCGAUGCGAUGCGGUUCCAGCGACCGGCUGGGGCAAAGCCGUCUACGCAUUUGGCGAGGAGAGGAAGAAUCCCAACAAGUUAAGUGGCGUUGGGUCAAGCUAGACUACUGCACCGAAGGAGGCUUGGCGUUUUGGACCGAACGUGUUUGGUGUAGAUGCGUUUCCUGCACCGAACUAGUUUUCUGCGCUAAACUAAUCUUUCAGAACGCUCAUCCAAAUCACCUUUUGUUUUUUAACCGGGUAUACCUGCAAUUUUUGGAGGUAUAUGUAUGACAAAGUCAUGCAGCACGUGCUGCGAUGAUACUUCAUUUUGGGAUAAACAUGUUUUGUGCACUAAACUAACUCAUUUACCCCAUUAUAAAAAGUGAGUGUACAUACCUCUUCUGGUGCACAUACUUCUUCUGAAGGUGAAUUGCAAUGGCAACCAUGGCAACAAUGCAGGGAGCCUUCGGUUCAUUGAAGGAGAUUGGUGACAUUGUGGCGAAUUUUGAUUUCAGCAAGGUAAAGUUGAACCUGUCUUGCCCAAAGCAGUGCUUAACUCCUUGUGGAAUGCUCCAGAUUGAUGUGCGUUCCAAGACUGCUGAGGAUUACCUCCACACCAACCUGGCACCAUCGUUUGGGGGAUUGAAUGCAGAAACAGUGAAGAAGAUGGAUGAGGUUCUCAAAGUUUGCAUCUCGGGAACCACAGACCUUAUAGCCAAAGUGGCACCGAAAGAGCGAACUUGGGAGAAGGUCAACUCCAUGUUCAUGCAAAAUCCCCUGGUUGAGCCAAUGGGCGAUGGGAUUAGCAGAGCUGACAAGUUUCUCAACAAAAGCUCUAGCAAUUUCAGGAUUGACGGGUCACCGGACCCAGCUAUUGUGAAAGCGGUAAUAGAAUCAUGUAUUAUGGAAGAGCUCUAUUAACCUUUGCGGCCUUUUCUCGUCACAGGUUCAGGUCUGGUUUGUGAAUCUCGUCGCAGAUGAGGACGUCCUGAAAUCAACCAAGAUCGACAUUAAAGUUCUUGGGGAAAUUGUUGCUCAGUCAGGGGCGACCAUUACCAGCUUUGAAAAUUUCUUUGCCAAGCAUGAGCACCACGAGAAGACCAUAAUUGACAUCGGGGUCUUAAGGUACCCUGAUAUGCAAAACCCGUACUUCAAGGUUUGUGCCCAGGCUGCCCUUUGUAUUUCAGUCACCGCUCACGUUUUUGAGUACAGGUGUACCGCAUCAAACUCUUUGCUUGGUCUGAUAGCAACCGUAUUGUGUUCCAUCAGGAGGAUUCCAAUGGCAUCAUUGGAGGUGAGGUGUCUAAUGUAAACCACUGAAAGACUGCACGCUCCUUUUGUUCUAUUUGCAGAGUUCACCUUCCGUAAGUUUAAGCCGCGCAAGGAGGUCAUUGACAAGAUGAACCCAGACGCCAAAAGGAAGGCCGUGGAAGCUGCAGAUAACAUCUUUGGUUUCUAAUCCAAGAUGCCUCAAGCUAAAACAUCUUUCUAAAUACAUGACCUACUUGAACUAUCUAUUGUGUUUAUAAAAUAAUCACAAUCAGGGCAUAGACAAUAAAAGUAAUAAAUAUCUAAAACCUAGAUGCUUUGGAUUCCAAGAUGAUAAGUUUAUCUAUAUACUGUUUAUAGUCUUGUGGUAGUCUUAUGAUAUAUUAAUAAAACGAAACAGGACAGUAUGCCAUGUGUAUCAUUGUCUUGUUGGUCUUUGUAAAUUCUUCGCACUCAAGGUUACCACAAGUUAGCCAGGGACACCCUCAAUCAGCU
rnacentral:lncRNA from 1 species